rnacentral:rRNA from 1 species
ACUCCUACGGGAGGCAGCAGUGGGAAUAUUGCACAAUGGGGAAAGCCCAUCGAUGCAGCCAUGCCGCGUGUGUGAAGAAGGCCAAUUCGGGUUGUUAAAGACACUUUCAGUAGGGAGGAAGGUAGUGUAGUUAACACCUGCAUUAUUUGACGUUACCUACAGAAGAAGCACCGGCUAACUCCGUGCCAGCAGCCGCGGUAAUACGGAGGGUGCGAGCGUUAAUCGGAAUUACUGGGCGUAAAGCGCAUGCAGGCGGCCUGUUAAGUCAGAUGUGAAAGCCCGGGGCUUAAGCCUCGGAAUUGCAUUUGAAACUGGCAGGCUAGAGUCUUGUAGAGGGGGUGAGAAUUGAUC